CCAUAUCCACAUGCCUAGAGUAGGCUCCCUCCAUACCUCACACCCAAAGGUGUUGGGCUGAUUCCUUGUUCGCUUGAAAGAGUUCAUGUAUUGUCCCACCAAAGGAAGGAGAAAAGCUGCAUCAAAGGUUAAUCCGUCAGCCACCUCGGAGAUCAGAUCAUCACUGAUCAAGAGCUCCAAUCCACCUUAGAGUAGGUGGAUUAGAUCUGGAUAAAGCAUCCUAGACGAAGGUCUGAGUGGAUACCUAUAGAGACCAGAUACUUGUAUGGCUCAACAAUGGACCUCAACCAUACGACAAUCAUCGGACCACGGAGAUCGUCUUCACACACAAGGUGAUGAGUAUUAUUUUAAUUAUUUUAAUAGAUGCUGAAUUUGGACUAACAAUCUGUCUUUUGAUCCAUAUUUCAGAUGUCGGAUCGAAAAAAUUUUUGAAUUCUGCUGUGCCAAGUUUGAUCGAUCUAAAGAGCGAUUCACAACCUUCACGACUGACAUGGCCGACUGCCACAAUCGACUGAUAUGGCUGAUUGUCAUGACCGACUGACA
rnacentral:lncRNA from 1 species